GAGGAGAGCGACACGCUGAGAGUUUGAAAGGCAGCCUCGGGGAAGAGCGAGGGCUCCCUCCCGUUUUCUUGGACCAUGGAAAGGAAAUGGCCCAGGAAAAAGUAGCUUGGAGUGUCUUCCCGCGGGGAGGGGCGGUGUCCCGGGAGCCGCCAAUGUCCCGUCCUAGGACUUGCCCAGCCACGUCCCGGCCUUCCCGACCUUGCCACCCUCCCUACUGCUAGCCCCAGCGGAGCGGAGGCGAGAAACUGUGGGAUAGAGGCUGCAGCAAUUGCAUGAGUAGACCCUGAAGGUAUGAGGUUUGUUAAAAUGGAUGUUCAGAGAAGGCCUGACACAAGAGGGCCACUCCAUUUGUCCCCACGGACCUGGGCCGGAUCUCUCAAUUUCACACUGAUGGAGCCUGAAAAUCAACAAACAAGACGGCAAGAACAGGGAAGACAUUGUUCUCUCCAAAGUGGACAAUUUGUGACAGGCCCAGGAAGGCUGCCUGGGCUUUAUAGCUUUUCCAGUGGUUCCUAAUAAACCAGGCUUUGUGUGAGCCUCGUUCAGGCCAUGCGGGGCCCUGUCGUUCUAAGGCUUUCUCCCUCCUCUGGCCUGGCUGCUGGGAGAACUUGUUAGCGGGCAUUGAUUUCUUUGAGUUGGACGCGACUGAAUUAGACUGCUUUGCUUGGCAUUUUAAAGGGGAUGUUUUCUUGGGGAAGUUGGAGGUUGGCACUGCCUUGAUAUGAAACAUUUUAGGGGCCAUUCAGAAUUCUUAACUGUCAUUAAUUUCUUUCAGGGCAUAUGAAACAUUUGUCUGAAGAAAGAUUUUAACAAUUUCAGUUUGAAGACAUCAAGAAAUACCAUAUGAUCUCUGACCUUAAUCAGAUGAAAUCUUGUUUCAUCCACAUGGUGGAAAAAAAUUAGGGAAAUAAUGCAUUUCUAUAUCUACUAAUCAACUGGCCAAUCAAUAUUAACUGGGCUCUUACUCUGUGCCCACUAUGUACGAGGUCCAUCUGCAGAUGGAGAUAACUAGAUUAACAACUAUUAUGGGAGAAACUGGCUACAAACCCAGCCCAUAGGAUUCCAAGGGGUUCCCGGGAGGCAGCACAGGGCUAAUGGAAAGCUGGACUCACCGAUGCAGGCUUUUAAAAGAAAAACUCAAAGUAUCUGAGUUUUUUUUUUUUUUUUUUUUUCAUGGAGUCUUGCUCUAUCGCCAGGCUGGAGUGCAAUGGCACAAUCUCAGCUCACUGCAACCUCCAACUCCUGGGUUCAAGCUAUUCUCCUGCCUCAGCCUCCCGAGUAGCUGGGAUUACAGGCACCCGCCAUCAUGCCCAGCUGAUUUUUUUUUUGUAUUUUUGUAGAGACGGGGUUUCACCAUGUUGGCCAGGCUGGUCUUGAACUCCUGAUCGACCUCAAGUGAUCCACCUGCCUUGGCCUCCCAAAGUGCUGGGAUUACAGGUGUGAGCCACCAUGAUCUGAGUUUUUUAAAAAAGCCCAUGUCUUUAUAGUUUACCAGCAUUUUUACAUGCCUUGUCUCAUUUGAUUUUUUCAAAGCAACCAUUCAAAUUGAAUGUGAAAAGUAUUAUUGUCUUGAUUUUAUAGAAGAUAAAAUGUCAUGCCUGUAAUCCCACCACUUUGGGAGGCCGAGGAAGGCAGAUCACGAGGUCAGGAGAUUGAGACCAUCCUGGCUAACAUGGUGAAACCCUGUCUCUACUAAAAAUACAUACAAAUUAGCUGGGUGUGGUGGCAUGAGCCUGUAGUCCCAGGUACUUGGGAGGCUGAGACAGGAGAAUUGCUUGAACCGGGGAAGCAGAGGUUGCAGUGAGCCGAGUUGGCGCCAUUGCACUCCAGCCUGGGUGGCAAAGUGAGACUCUGCCAAAAAAAAAAAAAAAAAAAGAUAAAACAAAGACUCAGAGAAUGAAAUACAACUUAGACCUGAAUUCAAAAACCAAUUCUUGGCAUUUCAAAGACAUUGCCCUUUAUGUCAUCAUCUUGCUUGGUGGCAGGGUGUACCUGUGUCAGCCAAAAGGGUGAUAUCACUGAGCUUUUCACUUGGUAAAAAAGGACAUCUUCAAGUACUCAGACUUCAGUUAGUUACAACUGAGCCUCAAGUCGCACUGGUUCGAAGUGCUGCAGUGCUUGGAUUUCCACCAGAUGUCACCAUUUGCCAUUGUUCUACUCCCUGCCUUUAAAAAGCAUUAGCAAAGAAGAGCCCAUCUGCUCUUGGGCCCCUGAGAAUGCUUAUUGCAUCUGGGAGUGAGGUGGAGGGCUGUAUUCCAAGAAGGGAGCAAUGAGCUCUGAAUCUUGACUCAGGGAGAAGGAAUUUGAAAAUGUCAUGGCCGGGCGCUGUGGCUCGCACCUGUAAUCCCAACACUUUGGGAGGCCGAGGCGGGCGGAUCACCUGAGGUCCGGAGUUUGAGACCAGCCUGACCAACAUGGAGAGACCCCGUCUCUACUAAAAAUACAAAAUUAGCCGGGCAUGGUGGCACAUGCCUGUAAUCCCAGCUACUCGGGAGGCUGAGGCAGGAGAAUCCCUUGAACUGGGAGGCAGAGGUUGCGGUGAGCCGAGAUCGUGCCAUUGUACUCCAGCCUGAGAAACAAGAGCGAAACUCCAUCUCAAAAACAAAAGAAAAGAAAAGAAAAGAAAAUGUCAUGAGCUCUCUGGUUCCCGAUUUCCUAAAACCCAAAGGCAUUAUUUCCCCCUCCCCUUGUGAUUUCGUGUAUCUAAAAACCCAGCCCAUUUCUGAUGGAUAAACCAAGCAGAACUAUAACCUGGCUUUUGGCCAAAACAACUUAGAAAAGGAGGAGAUUUUCUUUUCUUUUUAGAGAUAGGGUCUCACUCCAUCACUCAGGCUGGAGUGUAGUGGCAUGAUCAUAGCUCACUGCAGUCUCUAACUCCUGGGCUCAAGCAAUCCUCAUGCCUCAGCCUCCUGAGUAGCUAGGACUUAGGGGCAUGUGCCACUCACCCAGCUAAUUUUUAAAUUUUCUUGUGGAGACUGGAUCUCUCUUUGUUGUCCAGGCUGGCCCCAAACUACUGGCCUCCUAAAGUGCUGGCAUUACAGGGAUGAGCCACCAUGCCUAGCCCUCCAGCUAAUUUUUUAUAAAGCAGGAGGUUUUGAAGUGAAGACAGAACCAAGGAACGCUGCACCUUCUCUGUGAUCAGAAGUAGAAGCCAGCAGGAUUUGCAUCACGCUGGAGUGUGGUUUCUGAGGAGGGGCUGGAAGUAGCCCUGAACCCCAAGUCUCCCACCUGCUCAGAUUUUAUAUGGUCCAAAUUACACUACUCAGGUUCAUUCUUGUGGAUCUAAUAUGAGUGUUCCCUGUAGAUUUCAUGAGCAGGAGUGAUGUAUGAAUUCAUUUACAUCUAAGUGCAUUUGAAUUUGAACUUUUGUUUCUUUUUUUAAAGGGAGAAACUAGGCCAGAAUGAGAGAAUGAGGUUCCUAGGGUAUGUCUGUGGAUGUUGGCGAAGAGUCCAAGGUGAGGGGUGGGUGAGAGAGAGGGGAGGCAAACUUCUCUUAACUUCUAGUUUGGUCCAGGCUAACGACCAGGGGCCUGAGGGACCCUCCUUUGCCUCCUGUUCCUCACACCCUCCUCACCUUCACUCUGCUUAUCUUCAGGGUAGCAAAGAAUCCAUGUGGGGCAAUGGUUGGCCCCCCCAAAGCUUGGACUCCCCACGGGCCAACAAAUGAUGGGAGAUGUGUGGCUUCUCCAAAACUGCAGCUCUGGGAAAGGGGAAGCUUAGAGAUCUUAAUGAUGCUAAUAAGUUGGUAAAAAUAAUCAGGUGCAGGUAUUUUUAAGACAAGGCAAAAACAGAAAAAAGGAAGCAAUAGUACCUGGAUUUUAUUUGCUGAUCAUAAGCUUACUUUUUAAUCCAGCAAACUUGUUCUUCAACAAAACUGUCUGUAAAAUUAAUUGCAUGUCCUCCUGAUACGAUGUUGAUGGUAAUAAUACUUUCUCUUCAAAUGAAAACUUCAAAAAUAUAUCCUUCAGAACAUGAUCCUCUGGGCAAAUGGUCACAGAUGAAAGCCUUAAAUACAACUCACAGAAGCAGAGACAGCAGAUUUAUUACAGAAUUCGGAAAUGCAGUGUGACAUUGGUAGUAUCAACUGCUUUGAUCAUUUCUUUCAAGUAAUGUUUUAUUCAUUUCAUUUGGUCAUAUUUUGCUCAACUAUUUUUAUGUAACUUCACACAAUCUAUAUAUUUUGUUGAUAACUUACAGGUAAAAAUAUUCAUUUAUUAGUGUGGGUGUUUAUCCGAUGACCCACACUGGGUCACGCUGACUCAAGAGAGGACAGAGGGUCACACAAGAACUUCACAGCUUGUGUCCCCUAGGGGCUGAGGGUCUGCUGACUCUAGUUUUGUGGGGCUUAUCCACAGAUACUUUGCAGAAUGUCUGGUGGUGGGAAUAGGAGAUAAACAGAGAAGAUGUGUAGAAUUAUCUCUGAGGCGUGAUUACAAAGCUUGUGGGUGAUAGAUAUAAAAAUGCCAGGCCUCAAAUAUCUAAAUCAGGGCUGUCUACUUCAGGUGUCAUCGUUGAUUUUGGAAUCCCAUAAGUUGGUUUAAAGUUGCAAUCACUCAAAAUAUGUGCUGGACAACCCCUUAAGAUUGUCUUACAACCUAAAGAACAGCUAGGGCUGAUUGAUCUUUUUUUUUUUUUGGAGACAGGGUCUCACUCUGUUGCCCAGGCUAGAGUGCAGUGGUGUGAUCUUGGCUCACUGUAGCCUCUGCCUCCUGGGUUCAGGCAAUUCUCCUGCCUCAGCCUCCUGAGUAGCUGGGAUUACAGGCAUGUGCCACCACACCCAGCUAAUUUUUGUAUUUUUUAGUAGAGAUGGGGUUUCACCAUGUUGGCCAGGCUGGGCUCGAACUCCUGACGUCAAGUGAUCCACCUGUCUUGGCCUCCCAGAGUGCUGGGAUUAGAGGUGUGACCCACUGCGCUCAGCAGGGCUGAUGGAUCUUGAGACAGAGACCACAUCUAUACUGGGCCAGAUCCUCUCUCCUGGGAAUUUGGAAUGAGAACAUGGAGCCACAGCUAUUAGAGGCAGUUUGCUGGUGUUAAACUAUCUUCCACAGAUUCCUGGUCUGAGGUUCCUGGGCUGCUAGCCUCCUGCCUCCUUGCUAUUUCCUUUUGUCUUCUAGUCAUAUGCAAUUUGAACAGACAGUUACAAAAACGUGUUGAGACAAUGUCUUGCAUAUUUUAGUUCAUUUCCAGUCUUAUUUUGAAUAAAAGUUCUUAGAAUGAUCUAUCACUUGAAUAUAAAUCCUUACAAUUUUUAGUGUUGAGAAUUCGAAAUCAUAUAAGCCAAAUAUAGUCUUAUGGGAAAACAUAUUUGGUUACAUAGUUGAUGUCAAAUCAAAUUACUUUUGUAGUCUGUGAUUUGGGUUUCUUUCUUGAAUAUUUGAAUAUAUUCCAGUUGUCACUAUAUGGUUUAAACUAUUAUCCUUUCAACAUAUUUGCUUCAUCUUAAAAUUUCAUUUUUCAGUCAUUUGAAAUGCAGGAGCUGUAAAACCAUUCUAUAGAUGUUUCUAAAAUAAACUCUUAAGUGACACAAGCUUGAUUUGGAUCACCUUUUCUCAUAGAAUGGAAAUAAAUGGUUUCUAGAGAACCUAGAAAAACAAGUUUACUCCCCGAUAUGGUUUGGCUGUGUCCCCACCAAAAUCUCAUCUUGAAUUGUAGCUCCCAUAAUCCCCAUAUGUCAUGGGAGGGACCCGGUGGGAGGUAACUGAAUAGUGGGGGUGGGUUUUUCCCAUGCUGUUCUCAUGAUAGUGAAUAAGUCUCAUGAGAUCCGACGGCUUUAUAAAGGGCAGUCCCCCUGCACACGCUUUCUUGCCUGCCACCAUGUAAGACAUGCCUUUGCUCCUCCUUUGCCUUCCACCAU
rnacentral:lncRNA from 1 species